rnacentral:rRNA from 1 species
AUUGAACGCUGGCGGCAUGCCUUACACAUGCAAGUCGAACGGUAACAGGUCUUCGGAUGCUGACGAGUGGCGAACGGGUGAGUAAUACAUCGGAACGUGCCUAGUAGUGGGGGAUAACUACUCGAAAGAGUGGCUAAUACCGCAUGAGAUCUACGGAUGAAAGCAGGGGAUCGCAAGACCUUGUGCCACUAGAGCGGCCGAUGGCAGAUUAGGUAGUUGGUGGGAUAAAAGCUUACCAAGCCGACGAUCUGUAGCUGGCCUGAGAGGACGAUCAGCCACACUGGGACUGAGACACGGCCCAGACUCCUACGGGAGGCAGCAGUGGGGAAUUUUGGACAAUGGGCGCAAGCCUGAUCCAGCAAUGCCGCGUGCAGGAUGAAGGCCUUCGGGUUGUAAACUGCUUUUGUACGGAACGAAAAGCCCUGGGUUAAUACCCUGGGGUCAUGACGGUACCGUAAGAAUAAGCACCGGCUAACUACGUGCCAGCCGCCGCGGGAAAAC